UACGAACCGAGCGAACGUUAUUCGGAAUCACUGGGCGUAAAGCGCACGUAGGCGGCUUGUUAAGUCGGGGGUGAAAUCCUGAGGCUCAACCUCAGAACUGCCUUCGAUACUGGCAAUCUCGAGUCCGGAAGAGGUUGGUGGAACAGCUAGUGUAGAGGUGAAAUUCGUAGAUAUUAGCUAGAACACCAGUGGCGAAGGCGGCCAACUGGUCCGGUACUGACGCUGAGGUGCGAAAGCGUGGGGAGCAAACAGG
rnacentral:rRNA from 1 species